UACGGGGGGAGCAAGCGUUGUUCGGAUUUACUGGGCGUAAAGGGCGCGUAGGCGGUCAGCACAAGUCAGUUGUGAAAUCUCCGGGCUUAACCCGGAAAGGUCAACUGAUACUGUGCGACUAGAGUGCGGGAGGGGCAACUGGAAUUCUCGGUGUAGCGGUGAAAUGCGUAGAUAUCGAGAGGAACACCUGCGGCGAAGGCGGGUUGCUGGGCCGACACUGACGCUGAUGCGCGAAAGCCAGGGGAGCGAACGGG
rnacentral:rRNA from 1 species